UGGAGGAUCCUGAUGGGGCUUCAUUUCAUUGAUUUCUUUAUAUUUAUUUGAUGCGUUGCAUCUACAUUUAGCACAGAAUUGACAGAAGUCCUGCUUCAUGAAAUCCAGUUGAUUAAGUGUGCUUCCUUUCUGUUUUCUUAUUGUCACUGGUAGAAAGAUAAGUAGGAAGUUGCAGAUAAUUUUAGAGGCACAUAGAAAGGAAUUGUGGGCAUCUUAUUUUUGUUGGUGUCAUUUUUCCUUCCUUUUUCAUGUUUCUUGUGUCCUUAUGUUGAUAUUCUGUGCAUCUGGUCUAACAGUCAUUUCUUUCUAUUUUUGAAUUUACCUUCGUAGGGAAGAAAUUUUUCCUGCAGACAUGUCUAUGGUGUUGGUUGGGUAGGGCGCUUUGGCUUUGAUUCUGGGUGUGUGCAGUAGUACAGUCUUUAUAUGAUUUCUUUGGCUGUAAACAAUGUUAGUGGUGUCUGUAAUUUCCUUGGUGGGUUAGGGUGUGGUUAUUUAUGGAGGCUGUGAUGAAGUCGUGCUGGGGACUGGGAUGCCAGGUGGGCCAGUCUCCAGG
rnacentral:lncRNA from 1 species